AGAAAAAUGUGUCUCAGAUUGAAGCAACAAAUAGAAGAUAAAAAAUACAAAACUUAUCUAAACUAUAACAUCAUUUUGAUUUGUCCAUCUGAUUUUUUUUAAAAUUUUGAUUUUAUUAUCAAAUUUUUUAAUUUAUUUAAUUUGAGUUGGCCAAUGAUACUUUGAUUUGAAAAAAUUGGAUCAUAAAAAUUAGAAUUUUAAAAAAUUAAAUAGCCAACUCAAAAUGAUAUAUAAUUCUGAUAAAUUUCGCACAUUUUAAUCUUAAAUUAAAUUUUUUAUUUCGAAAACAUUGCCCACGUGAGAGCAUCAGCAUGUUGCUCAUCCAUGACACUGUACAUACUUGGCCCCACAAUUUUCUAAAGUGGCUGCCCACAUCCACAACCUCUGCUUUAAUUGGAGAAAUAAAUGAAAUUUGCAACGAGCAGAUGCAGAGAAGUUGACAUUUUCCGAGUCGGAGGGCACUCCGUUUUAGACCCUUCAGUAGUCUUCAUAAUUGAGUAACUUCAAAUACAACCUCUUUGAUUUCGCACUUUCUCACUUUAGUGUUCCGUGGCUUAAAAUAUAUCAAAUUAGUAUUCUGUGAUUUCAUUUUAUAUUUUCGUCAGUUUUUUUAUUAAUAUUUCGUUAAAUUAAAUACAAAAAACUACAGAUACCCAUCUAGUUUUAUCGAAUAUUCAUUUUAGUACUCUUUAGUUUUAACUUUGUCACUGAUUUAACCAAAAAAAUUACUGGAAUCGACGAUAAAAAAAUAAACAUGAAACCACAGGACAUUAAAUUGAUACACUUUAAACCACAUGAUACUAAAGUGAAAAAGUGUGAAACUAUAUGGAUGAUAUUUAAAGUUUUUUUAUAAUUUUUUAGGCUACUCUUUUUAAC
rnacentral:lncRNA from 1 species